rnacentral:rRNA from 1 species
AUACGUAGAGGGCAAGCGUUGUCCGGAAUUACUGGGCGUAAAGGGUACGCAGGCGGAUAUAUAAGUCAAAUGUGAAAGGCACCGGCUCAACCGGUGAGCGGCAUUUGAAACUGUAUAUCUUGAGUUCAGGAGAGGAGAGCGGAAUUCCUGGUGUAGCGGUGGAAUGCGUAGAUAUCAGGAAGAACACCAGUGGCGAAGGCGGCUCUCUGGCCUGAAACUGACGCUCAGGUACGAAAGCUGGGGGAGCGAACGGGAUUAGAUACCCCGGUAGUCCCAGCCGUAAACGAUGGACACUAGGUGUUGGGGGUUCGAAUCCUUCAGUGCCGAAGCAAACGCAUUAAGUGUCCCGCCUGGGGAGUACGGUCGCAAGACUGAA